AGUCGAGCGGACAGAUGGGAGCUUGCUCCCUGAUGUUAGCGGCGGACGGGUGAGUAACACGUGGGUAACCUGCCUGUAAGACUGGGAUAACUCCGGGAAACCGGGGCUAAUACCGGAUGGUUGUUUGAACCGCAUGGUUCAGACAUAAAAGGUGGCUUCGGCUACCACUUACAGAUGGACCCGCGGCGCAUUAGCUAGUUGGUGAGGUAACGGCUCACCAAGGCGACGAUGCGUAGCCGACCUGAGAGGGUGAUCGGCCACACUGGGACUGAGACACGGCCCAGACUCCUACGGGAGGCAGCAGUAGGGAAUCUUCCGCAAUGGACGAAAGUCUGACGGAGCAACGCCGCGUGAGUGAUGAAGGUUUUCGGAUCGUAAAGCUCUGUUGUUAGGGAAGAACA
rnacentral:rRNA from 1 species